UAGGUACUAAAAAUCAACUCUUGAGAAAGUAGUGCAAUGUGCCUUGUCCACAUUUUAUUCCCUCCAUACUCUUAAUCACAAAUGGGAAUACAUCAGAUGUAUGGUCAUUAAGGCAUAUUUCUUUUGAAAUAAGAUUUCAAAUUAUCUUUUUUGACUGAACCAAAAGUUUUGAAAAGAAAGAGAAGCUUGUGUAAGGCUAAACUUUAAUGUGUUUUGUUCAUGAAACUAACAGAAGAUGAGGCUGUCUCCUUUUGACCUCGGAAAGAAUUGUAUUUCACAAACAGUUAAAACUUUAAAAUACUUACGAGUUGUCAUCAAAGAAUUGAGAUUUAUAUUUGCUGAGGGGCGGUGAUUUUGUAUUUCACAAACAGUUAAAACUUUAAAAUACUUACGAGUUGUCAUCAAAGAAUUGAGAUUUAUAUUUGCUGAGGGGCGGUGAUU
rnacentral:misc_RNA from 1 species